CGCCUUCAGAUUCAAUAUUGGAGGUCUGGUCUGCCCAGUGUAAUUAAUUAACGGCCGCGGUAUUCUGACUGUGCAAAGGUAGCAUAAUCACUUGCCCUUUAAAUGGGGGAAUGUAUGAAUGAUUAGACGAGGUUUUUACUGUCUCUUCCUUAUAAAUUGAGAUUACAAUACUUGUGAAAAUGCGGGUAAGGUAAUAAAGGACGAGAAGACCCUGUUGAGCUUUUAAGUUAAAUUAUAGUACAGGUUAAGUUAAGUAAUAAUUUACAAUUAAAACAAGUAAUUUUUUGUAGGCUUUUUGGCUGGGGUGGCAAGCAAAGAUAUUAAGCUUUGUUGUAGUAUACAUUUUGUAUUUCUAGAUAAUAUGUAUCUAUAAAUAGUUAAAUUGAUCCGUUAAAAAUAGAACGAUUAAAAGAAUAAGUUACCACAGGGAUAACAGCGUAAUUCUUUUUGAGAGCUCGAAUUGACAAAGGAGUUUGCGACCUCGAUGUUGGAUCAAGAUUCCUAGCGGUGUAGCAGCUGUUACGGGUUUGCCUGUUCGGCGAUUAAUAUCU
rnacentral:rRNA from 1 species